rnacentral:tRNA from 1 species
UCAAAGGUGUCAGAGUUAAUGGGUUUGUUUUAGAUACAAAAUAUAGGAGUGUUUCUCCUCCUUUGAU